GAAAUGUCUGUUCAUUUCAGAUGCCCAUUUUUGGAUUGGGUCUUUAAAUUUGGGAGGUCUGAUCUUUUUAAGUUCUUUAUAGAUUCAAGAUAGUAGACCAUUGUCUGAGGAAGAGCAGGUGAAGAUUUUUUCCCACCUGUGGGAUUGUGGGUUGUCUCUUCACACUGCUGGUGGUUUCUCUUGCUGUGCAGAAGCCUUUUAAUAAGAAGAGAUCCCACUUGUUGAUUGUUUGUGCUAGUUCAUGGGCAACUGAGCUUUUGUUCAUAAAAUCUUUUCCUACAGCAAUGUCCUCAAGGGUUCUACCUAACCUCUGUUCCAACUGGUUCAGAGUUUCUAUUUGAAUAUUUAGAUCUUUAAUCCAUUUUGAUUUUAGUUUAGUGCAUGGUGAGAGAUACAGGUCUAGUUUUAAUCGUUGGCAGGUUGAAGCCCAGUUUUUCCAGCACCAUUUAUUAAAGAGGGUAUCUUUCCUCCAGUGAGGGUGUUUGGCUCCUUUAUCGAAGAUGAGAUGGCUGAGUGUGUCUGGCAUUGUUUCUGCAUCUUCUAAUCUGUUCCACUGGCCCUCAAGUCUGUUUCUUUGCCAGUAUCAUGCUGUUUUUAUCACAGUAGCUUUGUAGUAUAGUUGCAGGUUGGGGAUUGUGAUACCCCCUGCCAUGUCUCUGUUACCUAGAAUUGCUUUUACUAUUCUGGGUCUCUUCUUGUUCCAAAUGAAUUUUUGGAUUGUUUUCUCAAGGUCCAUGAAGUAUGCUGCUGGGAUCUCAAUUGGAAUUGCAUUAAAUCUAUAUAGCAGUUUGGGAAGUAUGGCCAUUUCACUAUAUUAAUCCUUCCUACCCAGGAGCAGGGGAUGUCUGUCCAUUUUCUGAUAUCAUCUUCAAUCUCUCUUUUCAGAGUGCCAUAGUUUUCAGAGAAGAGGUCUUUCAUUUCUUUCAUUAGGUUGAUUCCUAGGUAUUUCAGUUUUUUGGAUGCUAUUGUGAAAGGAAUUAUUUGCCCUAUUUCUCUCUCAGUGAGUCUGUCAUUGGUGUAGAGGAAAGCUAUUGAUUUUUGUGUGUUGACCUUGUAACCAGCUACUUGACUGAAUUUGGUUAUUAAGUCUAGAAGACAUUUGGUGGAGUUCUUGGGAUCGUCUAUAUAGAGUAUCAUGUCAUCUGCAAAUAAUGACAAGUUGACUUCUUCAUUACCUAUCUUUAUUCCUUUUAUUUCUUUCUCUUGUCUAAUUGCUGUGGCUAAUGUUUCCAGAACUACAUUGAACAAGAGUGGUGAUAGUGGACAUCCUUGUCUUGUUCCUGAUUUUAGUGUGAAGGAUUUCAGUUUUUGAUCAUUUAUUAUGAUAUUGGCUGUUGGUUUUUCGUAGAUGGCUUCUAUCAUUUUGGGGCAGAGACCAUCUAUUGCAAUUUUUUGUAGGGUUUUUAUCGUAAAUGCAUGUUGGAUUUUAUCAAAUGCUUUUUCUGUGUCUAUGGAGAUAAUCAUAUGGUUUUUGCCCUUGGCUCUGUUGAUAUAAUGUAUUACAUUGAUUGAUUUGUGUUUAUUGAAGCAUCCUUGCAUCCCUGGGAUGAUUCCCACUUGAUCAGGGUGUAUGAUCUUCUUGUUGAUCUUCUGCAUUCUGUUUGUCAUUAUCUUAUUGAGGAUUUUUGCAUCUCUAUUCAUUAGCGAGAUUGGCCUAUCAUUCUCUUUUUCAGUUGGGUCUUUCUCUGCUUUGGGGAUCAAGGUGAUGCUUGCUUCCAGGAAUGAAUUUGGGAAUAUUGCUUCCCUUUCAAUUUCACUGAAGAAAUUAAACAGUAGUGGCAGCAGUUCCUCUCUAAAUGUCUUAUAGAAUUCAGCAGUGAAGCCAUCAGGGCCCAGGCUUUUCUUAGUUGAUAAGUUUUUAAUUACAUUUUCAAUUUCAUUGGUUGAUAUUGGGUUGUUCAGAAUUUUUAGGUCUUCUUCAUUCAACUUUGGUAAUUAAUAUGUGUCUAGGAAUCUGUCCAUUUCUUCUGUGUUGUCCAUCUUAUUGGUGUAUAGAUUCUGGAAGUAGGUAUUGAUGAUCCUCUGGAUUUCUGCUGGGUCUGUUGUAAUUUCAUCGUUUUCAUUCCUAAUUGCAUGGAUUUGGGCCUUUUCUUUCCUUGUUCUGACGAGGUUGGCUAAAGGUUUGUCAAUUUUGUUGACUCUUUUGAAGAACCAUCUCUUGGCUUCAUUGAUUUUUUUGUAUCAUUCUCUUAGUCUCCAUUGCAUUGAUUUCUCCUCUGAUCUUUAUAAUUUCCUCCCUUGUAUGAGCUUUGGGGUUGUCCUGCUCUUCUUUUUCUAGAAGCUUGAGGUUCAGCAUCAGGUUGUUUAAUUGGGCUCGUUCUGUUUUCCUAAUAUGCGUAUUCACUGCUAUGAAUUUCCCUCAUAAGACUGCUUUCAUUGUGUCCCAUAGAUUCUGAUAUGUUGUAUUGUCAUUGUCAUUGAACUGAAGGAACUGAUUUCUUCUUUAAUUUCCUCUGUGACACAUUGGUUAUUCAGAAGUGUGUUGUUCAAUUUCCACGUGUUUAUGAAAUUUUUGGAGUUUCUUUUGCUAUGGAUCUCCAAUUUCAUCACACUAUGGUCUGAUAAUAUACAGGGGAUAACUUCAAUUCCUUUGCACUUACUUAAACAUGUUCUAUGUGUGAGUAUGUGGUCUAUUUUGGAGAAUGACCCAUGUGCAGCUGAGAAGAAUGUGUAUUCUGAUUUAGGGGUGUGGAACACUCUGUAAACAUCUGUUAAGUUCAUUUGUUCAAGAGUUCGAUUGAGUUCUAGUAUUUCAUCACUUAUUUGUAGUCUACUUGAUCUAUUUGUGACAGUGGGGUGUUGAGGUCCCCCACUACAAUUGUACUAGUGUGUAUAUGACUUUUCAUGUCCAUUAGUAUUUGUUUUAUAUAGUUGGGUGCGCUAGUGUUUGGUGCAUAGAUAUUUAUGAUUGUCAUCGCUUCCUCUUGGAUUGUUCCAAGGAUGUAGUGUCCUUCUUUGUCUCUCUUAAUCAGUGUUGGUUUGAAGUCUACUUGAUCUGCCAAGAGGAUAGCUACUCCUGCUUUUUUUCAGGUUCCUGUCUCAUGGAGUAUUGUUUUCCACCCUUUAACUUUCAGUCUAUGAGUUUUCUUUUGAAUUAAGUGUGUUUCUUGUAUGCAGCAUAUUGUUAGAUUUUGCUUCUUGACCCAUUCUGCCAGUCUAUUUCUUUUGAUUGGUGAAUUGAGACCCUUAACAUUGAUGGUUAUAACUGAAACGUAUUGACUUGUCAUUGCCAUGACUUUUUCUUUUUGUUGGGUUCUCCCCCUUUACAUUUAAUUUCUUGUCAUGCCAGAUGGAUUCAUUCUGCUUUGCUUUCUGGCGUUGUGAUCCUCAAUGUCUGUUCCUAGGAUAUUGUGUAAAAUUCUUUGGAGUGCUGGUUUGGUAUCCAUGAAGUUCCUAAGGUGCUCUUUGUCAUGAAAAUAUCUUAUUUCUCCAUCCAUUUUGAAAGGUAGUUUUGCAGGGUACAUCAAUCUGGGUUGGAGGCUGUUUUCUUUUAGGGCUUGGAAUAUGUCACUCCAAGCUCUUCUUGCCUUGAUGGUUUGUGUUGAGAAGUCUGCUGUGAUUGUGAUGGGCUUUCCUUUGUAUGUGAUUUGUUUCUUUUCUCUGACUGCUUGGAGAACUUUGUUCUUCUGUUGUGUUUCUAGAUCUUAACACUUAUAUGCCUAGGUGUAGAUUUAUUUUGAUCAAGGCUAUUUGGAGUCCUAUAUGCCUCACUUAUCUGUAUGUCAAGCUCUCUUCCCCUGCUUGGGAAGUUUUCUGCCAUUAUUUCUCUGAAGAGAUUUUGUUAUGUCAUCUCCACUCUCUCCUGUUUCUGCAUUGAGCCCAAUUAGUCUUAUGUUCUUCUUCUUUGCAUCAUCUAGCUGCUGCUGGAUUGAUUUCUCAUGUUCCCUCAUAAUUUUGAAGCAAUUUUUCUUUUCCUGGUCACUAAUUGCAAUCUUAUCUUCUAUAUCUGAAAUUCUGUCCUCACAUUGGCUCAUUCUGCUGUGUAGACUUUCAGUGGAGUUUUUCUUGUCCUGGAAAUCUGUUUGCAUCUGUUUUAUGGAUUCCAUUUGUUUCUUAUGUUGGGAUUCCAUCAUGUUCCUGAGCUCCUGUCUAGAUUUAUUAAUCGUGUCUUGUACUAGGGGCACAAUUUCUCCUGUUAUCUGAGAAAUUAUUUCUGAUUUCAUUUUUUCCAGAUCCCCUUUUGGUGCCAGUUCAGUGGGUCCAGGUGGUUGAGUAUCAGAGUGUUCCAUCUCAUUUCCCUUUGGGGUUGCUGUAGGCAGUCUGAAAGUCUGGUUUUGAGACUCAUUUAUGUGUUUUCUCAUUUCAACUGGGGCGGGGGUCUGUUAGUGCCUGCGCGGAUUACCCCCUCUGAGCUGGGAGAGGUGGAUGGGGCCAGGAGUAGCGGUAGAGAUGGUGGCCUAGAAGCCCCUUCUUCUGGGCCAGGAGAAGGACAGAAGGUGGCCCAAAAUCCCUUUCCUCUGGGCUUGGAGUGGUGGGCGGGAUGGUGACUGGGAAGCCGCUUCCUCUGGACCAGGAGUUGUGGGAUGGCUGCUCAGAAGCCCCUACCUGUGGGCCUGGAGCAGCGGGACUCAGUACCUCGGUCUGUUGUUCUGGUGUCCUCUGCGUCUUUUAGUGUGGAACCAGGUGGCUGCCUGUCUGCAGCGGGGUGAUUCGGCAUCUUCCGCGUGACUUGGGACCUCGGUAGGGCGUGCACAGACCUGCCUGUCUGCAGCGGGCUGAUUCGGCGUGUUCUGUGGGACUGGGGACCUCGGUAUGGCGUGGGCAGACCUGCCUGUCUGCAGCGGGCUGAUUCGGCGUGUUCUGUGCGACUGGGGACCUCGGUAUGGCGUGGGCAGACCUGCCUGUCUGCAGCAGGCUGAUUUGGCAUAUUCUGUGGGACUCAGGACCUCGGUAGGGCGUGGGCAAACCUGCCUGUCUGCAGCGUGGUGAGUUGGCAUCUUCCACAGGACUGGGGACCUCGGUAGGGCAUGCCGAUCAUGUGAUUUUUGUAUUUGGUUUUGUCAUUAUGGAGAGUUACAUUUAUUGAUUUGCAUAUGUUGAAACAUCCCUGCAUCCCUCGAAAAAAUCCUACUUGUUAGUGGUGUAUAAUGUCUUUGGUGAUUUUUUGCAUUCUAUUUGCCAGUAUCUUACUGAGGAAUUUUGCGUCUAAAUUCAUUAGGGAGAUUGGCCUGUAGUUCUCUUUUGGUUGGGUCUUUCUCUUCUUUUGGUAUCAGGGUAAUACUUAUUUCCAGGAAUGACUUUGGGAGUAUUGUUUCCCUUUCAGUUUCACUAAAGAGUUUGAAGAGUAGUGGCAUUAGAUCUUCUCUAAAUUUCUUGUAGAAUUUAACAGUUAAUUCAUGAGGACCUAGGCUUUUCUUUGUUGCUAAGUUUUUAAUUACAUUUUCAAUUUCAUUGAUUUGGGGUUAUUUAGAAUUUUCAUAUCUUCUUGAUUCAGUUUGGGUAAUUCAUAUGUAUCUAGGAAUCUGUCCAUUUCUUCUGUGUUUUCCAUCUUAUUUGAGUACAGGUUCUCAAAGUAGGUUUUGAAGAUCUUCUGGAUUUCCACAGGAUCCAGUGAUUUCACCCUUUCUGUUCAUAGUUGCAUGAAUUUAAGUCUUUUCUUUCCUUUUUUUGAUAAGGUUGGCUAAGGGUUUAUCAAUUUUAUUUAAUCUUUCAAAGAACAAACUCUUUGAUUCAUUGUAUUAUUUUCCUAGUCUCAGUUGCAUUAAUUUCUGCUCUGAUACUUAUAAUUUCCUUCCUUGUAUAAGAUUUGGGCUUGACUUCUUUAUAUAUAUAUAUAUAUAUUUUAUUUUUGGUACCGGGGAUCAAGCUCAGGACCUUGUGCUUGUGAGGCAGGUGGCAGCACCACUGAGCUAAAUCCCAAGCCCAGGUUCUGUAGAACAAUUAAUACAUAUCAUUUUGGAUCAAUUUUUUUUGUAUUGGGUAUCGAACUCGGGACCCUGUGCUUGCAAGGCAUGUGGGAGAACCACUGAGCUACAUCCCUGGCCCUCUAGAUGUUUGAGGUUCAACAUUAGGUUAUUUGUGCUCGUUCUGUUUUCCUGAUGUGAGAAUUUACUGCUAUAAAUUUUCCUAAGACUACCUUCAUUGUAUCCCAUAAGUUGGAACUUAUGUUCCAUACAAUGUAUGUUGUAUCGUGAUUAUGUAUAUACUGUUUAUUUCAUCUGUGAUCCAUUGGUUGUCUAGGGAGUGUUAUUUAUUUUCCAUGUGUUUAUGGAGUUUUUGUGGUUUCUUUUGCCAUUGAUUUCCAAUUUCAUUGCACUAUGGCCAGAUAAUAUGCAUGAGAUAAUUUCAAUUCCUUUGCAUUUACUUAAGCAUAUUCUAUGAGCUAGUAUAUGGUUUAUUUUGGAGAAUGUCCCAUGUCCAGCUAAGAAGAAUGUGUAUUGUGAUAUUGUGGGAUGGAAUACUCUGUAGACAUUCACUAAGUCCCUUUGUUCACAGUGGUUCAGUGCUGAUAUUUCUUCAUUGAUAUUUUUGUCUAGUUGAUGUGUCUAUUUGUGACAGUAAAAUAUUGAGGUUCUCCAUUACAAUUGUAUUAGUGCUUAUUUGAUUUUUGAUGUCUGUUAAUAUUUGUUUACAUAGUUGGGUGCAUAUAUAUUUAUGAUUGUUAUCCAUUCCUCUUGGAUUGUUACCUUUACAAGGAUGUAGUGACCUUCUCUAUCUCUCUGAAUCAGUCUUGGCUUGAAAUCCUUUUUCUCUGCAAAUAGAAUAGCUAACCCUGCUUUUUUUCUGGGUUCCUGUUGCAUGGAGUAUUGCUUUCCAUCCUUUGACUUUCAGUCUGUGAAUUUCUUUUUUAGUUAAAUAUGUUUCCUGUAUGAAGCAAAUUGUUGGAUCUUAUUUCUUGAUCCAUCCGGCCAGUCUAUGUCUUUUGAUUGGUGAAUUGAGGUCAUUUCUUUAUAGCAAAUGAAUCAAUUAGUAGAGUGAAGAGACAACCUAUAGUGUAGGGAGCAGGGGAAGGGGAUGUUACCAGAACCUCUGCAGUAAGUCCUAGUCUCCUGUGAGACACGGCAGCACACGGCGAAUUACAGGAAAGGUAGAAAAAUGAGACUGAGAAGAAGCUGAGCUUUUGGGUCUGAUCAGUGCUGCUCUGGGCAGCAAAGACAAAAACCCUCUAGCUUGCAGCAUCUUUUAUUCAGUACAUGGGGAAACAAAUGUAACAAAUGAAAAAUAGAGUUCAGUACUUCACAUUGGUAUAAACAAGGUGUAACAAAAGGCUGGGGGGCAGUGGAAAACUAAGAACAAUGAGGAACUAUGUAGAUGAAGAUUUGGUUCCUCCCUGUAGUCUCCCACAGGUGUGGUCUUGUCCUGGAGCAUUACGGCAUGGGGGGGGGGGGCGCGAAUCACUGAGGUCUUAGUUGUGACCCGAGGCCAAAAUGCAGUUAUGUCUGGAAUGUCCUAGCUGGGCUGUAGGCCAGAGAACUAGGCCUACUCAAAUGAUUUUUCCUAGAAUUAUGUAGCAUUGCUCCCAGCACUAUAGAAUGGGAAAAAGUGUUGUCAGCUAUUCCUCAGGUAGAGGAUAAUAUCUAGAAUAUAAAAAGAACUCAAUUGGCAGUGGUUAUUAACUUCACAUUAACUAGGAAACAAAAAUUAGCACAUUUAUUUAAUCAAAUUUUAUCUCUUUGUCUCUCUCUUUUACACACACAUAUACACACAGAAACAUAUAUAUAUAUAUAUAUACCUUGUGUUUUGGAGGCCUUUUGGAGGCUUCAUGUUGCUCUUCUCUCUUGCCAUGGUCAUUUCAUCCAUGAACCAAUAUUGUUUAGCUUUUGUCUUCAUUUCUAUGUGCUUCUAUUUCAGCUCCUAAAGUGUGUCCAUGAAAUCAAUGAGUUUCUCAUCCAAUAGUUCCAUAGCAACUAGAUCCCUCUUUAAUUAAAAAGCAAUAUAAAAGUCACUGUUAACUGAUUAGAAAAUAUUGGUGAUCUGAGCACCACACACACUACACAGUUCCUUAAUAUGUUUCUUAAAAGUUAUUUACCAAGCCUGAUUUGACAUUUUUUCAUUUGUAAUUUGUUUGCACUUAAGCAUGAGGAUGAACCACAGGUAGACUCACAUUCCACAGCAUCCUUUUGGUGUUCUCUCAGGUCUGGAUCGUGCAAUGGUGGUUGGGUUAGUCAUUUGCUUCUCAAAAUUAUAGCUCUCAGAGGUAUAAAAUGUAUACAAUGGCAUAUACAAUAUCUUCCAGUUCUCAAAGCUUUCCAUCUAUCUCAGUCUAUCUUUUUUAUAAACACGUACACACAACUUUUAAGUUACCUGAACAGAAAUUUCACCAUUUUGAGUUUUCUAAAACAUGUAGAAGAAAUUUGAAAAUAAUAAUUAAUACAACUUACAGUGCAUAAAUAUGUAGGAGGCAUAAGCAGAAAGCAAUUGAGGCUAAAAUAUGGUUCUGGUUGUGAUUAUUGGGUUCUCGUUUGGUAGCAAUAAUAUCUUCCUGCAAAAUUUUCGAGGUGGUAUGGAGACAAAAGAUGAGAUGAGAAGUGUCAGUGUGUUUUGGGAAAAAAUACUUUGUAUUUUUACGCUGGUUCAACCGUCAAACAUUGUUAUCUUGAUGGAUCUUGUUUGGGAAAACCCAUGUACUAAAAUUGAAGAAUUUCAUGCAACCAUAAAAAUAUUGAUUUCUUAUUCAUACAUACAUGAACAAAAGCAGACAGCAAGUAUCUGAAACCGUGACAACUUAUACUUCUCUAAUUGUAACAAAAUAAACCAUUUAUUUUUCUCCUAUGAGAUUAUAUUAAACGAAUACUUAAAAGAAAAUAUCCUUGGUAUGCAAUACAUUCAGUCAUUUUAUCAUCUUGCUUUGAAUACCAUUUAAUAACUGGAACAAAAACUUUAACUGUCAUCUCAAAAGCCAAAUGUGAGGCCUAGAAACACUUAUUUUAUUUUCCAUUAACUGCAUGACAAAUUAUUCUUUGCAAUAGAAUACUAUAAUGUAAAUAAAAUGGUGGAAUCAACUUAACUGGAAGCUUCUUAUAUUUAAUAACUUGUAAAGGACAAAAAUAUUUCAAGAAUGAGGAUUAGAUUGCACCUUUAUCAAUUAUGUAAAGUGUAAGUUAUUUCUAACAUUGUCCUUUGGUUUUCGGUUGUCACUGAAAAAAUACUUGUACAUAUUAAAUUGUUUAGCCUCUGGUUGUUUUGUGAAUAAAUUAAGCAUUUUUUUCAUAAGACAAACAUAAACCCAAUACAAUUACUAAAGGCAGUGGGAGACAAUGUUAAUGUGUUUCAUACUUCAAAGGCUACAGCUGCCAAAAAUUCAUAGUAAUCAAUCAACAUUUUUCCACAACAACCUGACAGGGGCAAUCAUUAUAGGAGAUUUUUUUAAAAGAUAAAAUUACUGGAUAUAUUGAUUAAUUUAUUGUUCCUUUGGGACUACCUUAUAUGCAGCUAAAAUAUUAAAACUGUUUUUUUCUUCUACAGAAAGAGAAUUUGGAACUCACUCUAGACAAUUUAACCCAAUUCUUUCCUGUGAAUAGAAUUACCUUUUACUGUGUGCUAUUAUGAUCUAUAAUUCAGAAUUAGAAAGCUGAACAUAGGAAUAAAAAUUAAUACAGAAUUUACUUUUCACAGCCUAGAGAUUUUGCUCUAAAUUCUGAAACACAGUUUGGUAGUCAGUGAGUAGUUCCUAGGGGAAAAAGUUUUUGCUAGAGAAGCAUUUCAUUUCAGUGCAACAAGUAGAUAUAAAGUCAGGUCAUAAUUUUUCAGCUGUUCAUAGCAAUCACUUAGCCUCAAAUACAAAAUGCAAUGUAUAUUUAAGUCAAAGUUCUCAAGGAAAGGAAAAGAAAAAGUCCAAAUUUACCUUGGGUUUUAUUUCCAUUUUGAAAAACUUCUUUCCAAUUCUUUCUUCCUCCUGCACAUCAACAUAAUCUAGUUUUAAUGGUAUCCUUAAAUCAGCCUUGUUGGUACCAGAAUGUAUUUUGACAAUGAGCAGCAUAAUCUAACAUUCUAAAAACUAGUGAGAGAUGGUAUCUAAUUCACACCUUUCAAACAGGAAAUCUUAGACAAAACAAUAGCUGACAAUUUUUGUUUGUUCAGUAAAGAAUUUAAAAAUGUAAGUAAGUUGACAACAUUUUAAAAAUGAAUAAUAGAUAUUAUGAAAUAGGAAGAAAAUAUUUAAAUGGAAAGGGGAACUAGGGAGGGGAGGAGGAAGGAAGGGAAAUGAAAAAAGAGAAUAGAAGGAAAAAAUGGAAACAAAGCUUUUGUAAAUAAGGAGGGGAAGAGAGAUUGAAAAGAGGGAAAGGAAAUGGG
rnacentral:lncRNA from 1 species